CUUUUGUUUUCCAUUUUAGGGGGGAAAUCUUGUCAUUUUAUAAAUUGUAAAAACUGUGAAGCUUCCAAUGUCACCUCAUUAAAUAUGAGUUUUCCCUUGGUUCCUGAUAGAUACUCUGUAUCAAGUUAAAGAUUUCUUCCUUCCAUUGCUUGCUGAUUGCCUUUUUCAAUAUUUAUAUCUUUAUUUUUCUUGUCUUACUGUGCUUGUUAGGAUUUAUUGUGCAAUGUUGACUGAAAGUGAUAAUUGUGGACAUCCUGCCUCUGUUUCUGAUUUCAAAGGGGACACUCUCAGUGUUUCAUUACCUUACCAGAUGUUGGCAGAUUUGUCUCAGUCCUUUCAAAUCACUGACCCCCUUCCAGCCACAUGUGAGAGAUACAGUUGCUUCACAUCUUCCCCAACACAAUGUUUUCAGUGUUUUUAAUUUGGACUCUAAUUUCUGUUAGGUGUGUACAGUGACUUCAUUUUUGAUUUUAGUUUAUCAUCAGGGAAAUGAUGUUGAGUAUCUUUUUAUGUGCUUAUUGGCCAUUUGGAUAUCCUGUUUGUGAAAUGCCUAUUCCAGGAUUUUGUCCUUUUUCUUUAACUGGCUUUU